UUUUUUGUUGUUGUUUCUUUUUUUUUUUUUUUUCCAUGUAGAAAUACAGCCUUAUGUAAGUCUGGUUCCAGGACUGGAGCAACAAAUUAGGAAAGCAGUUUGAGAGAACCUGCCACCUUGAGGAAGGGCUUCAGCUCCACUCCCAUCUUUAAAUCACACAGCCAGCGCCGCGGGGAUGAAACUAAGGAGCAAACCAAUAUUUGGCUGCCCAGAUGUACGUUGAAGGCCGGUUCAGCCUUCAGCAAGGAAAAACUUCUGUGCCGUGUCCAAAAUUUCAAGGCGCUGAAUGAGAAGUUCAUCUUCCUGGCACCCUGACAGCGAAUAUUGAUCACAUAACCCC
ensembl:lncRNA